rnacentral:rRNA from 1 species
UACAGAGGUCACAAGCGUUGUUCGGAUUCAUUGGGCGUAAAGGGUGCGUAGGCGGCGCGGUAAGUCGGGUGUGAAAUCUCGGAGCUUAACUCCGAAACUGCAUUCGAUACUGCCGUGCUUGAGGACUGGAGAGGAGACUGGAAUUUACGGUGUAGCGGUGAAAUGCGUAGAUAUCGUAAGGAAGACCAGUGGCGAAGGCGGGUCUCUGGACAGUUCCUGACGCUGAGGCACGAAGGCCAGGGGAGUAAACGGG